rnacentral:rRNA from 1 species
UACGUAGGGUGCGAGCGUUAAUCGGAAUUACUGGGCGUAAAGCGUGCGCAGGCGGUUUUGUAAGUCUGACGUGAAAUCCCCCGGGCUUAACCUGGGAAUUGCGUUGGAGACUGCAAGGCUGGAGUCUGGCAGAGGGGGGGUAGAAUUCCACGUGUAGCAGUGAAAUGCGUAGAGAUGUGGAGGAACACCGAUGGCGAAGGCAGCCCCCUGGGUCAAGACUGACGCUCAUGCACGAAAGGCGUGGGGAGCAAACAGG